UACAGAGGGGGCAAGCGUUGUUCGGAAUUACUGGGCGUAAAGGGCGCGUAGGCGGCCCGCUAAGUCGAACGUGAAAUCCCCGAGCUCAACUCGGGAACUGCGUCCGAUACUGGUGGGCUUGAAUCCGGGAGAGGGAUGCGGAAUUCCAGGUGUAGCGGUGAAAUGCGUAGAUAUCUGGAGGAACACCGGUGGCGAAGGCGGCAUCCUGGACCGGCAUUGACGCUGAGGCGCGAAAGGCUAGGGGAGCAAACGGG
rnacentral:rRNA from 1 species